GUACACGCUGUGACUAGCAUAUCAAUAAGCGGAGGAAAAGAAACUAACAAGAAUUCCCUCAGUAACGGCGAGUGAAGCGGGAAGAGCUCAAAUUUGAAAUCUUAAAGGGCUUCCCUUUACGAAUUGUAGUUUAAAGAAGUGUUUUCUGCUGAAGUUUUGGUAAAAGUUCUUUGGAAUAGGACAUCAUAGAGGGUGAGAAUCCCGUAUUUGACCAUUAUUUUCAGCUUUGUGAUACACUUUCAAAGAGUCGGAUUGUUUGGGAAUGCAGUCCAAAAUGGGUGGUAAAUUUCAUUCUAAGGCUAAAUAUUGGCGAGAGACCGAUAGCGAACAAGUACCGUGAGGGAAAGAUGAAAAGAACUUUGAAAAGAGAGUUAAAUAGUACGUGAAAUUGUCAAAAGGGAAGCGUUUAACACCAGUGUUGUUUUCUGAAAAUCAACCUCUGUUAGCUUUAUGCAUGUUUGUUUAGACCUAAUCAGCUAUCUUGCAUGUUCUAUUGUUUGCAGUGGUGCACUUUUCAGUUUACAGGUCAACAUCAGUUUUUUUUACCGUAAAAAAGUUAAAGAAAGGUAGCUCAUGGCUCCGGUCGUGAGUGUUAUAGUCUUUUUCCUAUGCGGUAGGAGAGACUGAGGUCUGCAGUGUAGGCUAUUUGGCUAGAUACUCAGGUGCUAUGUGAUACCAUUUCAUAAACAACUUGUUGAUUAUGUUUUGUCUAUUGCAUACUCGCUUGUACUAUCAUACCUACGCUUAGGAUGUUGAACUACUGAGACAUAGA
rnacentral:rRNA from 1 species